rnacentral:rRNA from 1 species
UACGGAGGGAGCUAGCGUUGUUCGGAUAUACUGGGCGUAAAGCGCACGUAGGCGGCGCGGCAAGUCAGGGGUGAAAUCCCGGAGCUCAACUCCGGAACUGCCCUUGAAACUGCAGUGCUAGAAUCCUGGAGAGGCGAGUGGAAUUCCGAGUGUAGAGGUGAAAUUCGUAGAUAUUCGGAAGAACACCAGUGGCGAAGGCGACUCGCUGGACAGGUAUUGACGCUGAGGUGCGAAAGCGUGGGGAGCAAACAGG